GGAGUUAGCCGGUGCUUCUUCUGUGAGUGAUGUCCUUCCUGCCGGCUAUUAACCCGCAGGCCUUCUUCCUCACUGAAAGUGCUUUACAACCCGAAGGCCUUCUUCACACACGCGGCAUGGCUGGAUCAGGGUUGCCCCCAUUGUCCAAUAUUCCCCACUGCUGCCUCCCGUAGGAGUCUGGGCCGUGUCUCAGUCCCAGUGUGGCUGAUCAUCCUCUCAGACCAGCUACGGAUCGUCGCCUUGGUGAGCCGUUACCUCACCAACCAGCUAAUCCGACAUAGGCUCAUCCGAUAGCGCGAGGCCCGAAGGUCCCCCGCUUUCCCCCGUAGGGCGUAUGCGGUAUUAGCCUGGGUUUCCCCAGGUUAUCCCCCACUACCAGGCAGAUUCCUAUGCAUUACUCACCCGUCCGCCGCUCGCCACCAGGGAGCAAGCUCCCCGUGCUGCCGCUCGACUUGCAUGUGUAGCUGCCGCCAGCGUCAUCUGAGCAGAUACAAACUACUGA
rnacentral:rRNA from 1 species